rnacentral:miRNA from 1 species
UGAAAGUGACUACAUCGGGGU